ACGGUUGAUGAUGAAGAACCUCCUCAAAAGAAGCAGAAGGAAGCACUUUCAGCUGCAAAAAAGAAAGCAGCAGUGAGGAUGAAGAUGACAGUAGUGAGGAAAGUUCGAAUGAUGAGCCAACAAAAGUUGAAGAAAAGAAGGCUCCAAAAGUAUUAGAAAACAUUGGAUCUGAGGAUGAAUCUUCUGAAGACGAGAGUGAUAAAGACAGUGAAGAGCCUCAGGCAUGCCAUCAUUUAACACCUCAGGCAUGCCAUCAUUUUUGUUUCACAACUCAAAAGUAAAGGAAAACACUAAAAGUAU